UUAUUAACCAGGUUUUCCGAAGGAAAAAACUGGUUAUUAGAUUGGCGAAUGCGGGCGGGCUGGCUGGCUGGCUGGCGGGCUGGCGGAAUAAGCUUGUCCGGGCCAUAACUAUGUCGUUCAUUGUCAGAUUUUAAAAUCAUUUGGCACAUUUGUUCACCAUCAUUGGACGGUGUGUCGCGCGAAAUAAUUACGUCGAUAUCUCCAAGGUCAAGGUCACACUUUGAGUUCAAAGGUCAAAAAUGGCCAUAAAUGAGCUUGUCCUGGCCAUAACUAUGUCAUUCAUUGUGAGAUUUUAAAAUCAUUUGGCACAUUUGUUCACCAUCAUUGGACGGUGUGUCGCGCGAAAUAAUUACGUCGAUAUCUCCAAGGUCAAGGUCACACUUUGAGUUCAAAGGUCAAAAAUGGCCAUAAAUGAGCUUGUCCGAGCCAUAACUAUGUCGUUCAUCGUCAGAUUUUAAAAUCAUUUGGCACAUUUGUUCACCAUCAUUGGACGGUGUGUCGCGCGAAAUAAUUACGUCGAUAUCUCCAAGGUCAAGGUCACACUUUGAGUUCAAAGGUCAAAAAUGGCCAUAAAUGAGCUUGUCCUGGCCAUAACUAUGUCAUUCAUUGUGAGAUUUUAAAAUCAUUUGGCACAUUUGUUCACCAUCAUGGGACGGUGUGUCCCACGAAAGAAUCACGUUAAUAUCUCCAAUGUCAAGGUCGCCACGACUAAAAAUAGAUUUAAAAAAAAAAAAAAAAUUACAAAGGGGGUUAAUUUUUUUUGGUCAUUUCAAAAGUUCA